AAGUUAUUUUCACGUGACCUCUUUUUUUUGGGGGGGGCGAGGGGUAGAGGUGGGUGGGAGGGGUUUGGCUCUAAAAUGAUGAUCUGCCUUGAGUACUAUUUUACAUAAAUUACUUCCUUUGGAUUUAAUUUUUUAAAAUAAUCCUUAGAAGAUUUUUUUUUUUUGCUUCAGUGAAGGGAGAUUAAGAUUCAAGGCUCUCAGGCUGUAUUCCUAAAUCUGCUGGUAAAUUGUAUGGCUUAGAAGAUCCAUCACUGUCUAUGUUUCUCUGUCUGGUGGUGUUAGUGUUUGUCGUUGUUUUCCUCCCUCCCCUCACACCUCCAACCCAAAAAGAGUCCAUUUGUUAUUACCAUUAUGUCAUCCUUUGAGGAUGGUAAAGGCACCAUUUGCCCUUUCAAAAGAGUGAUUUGAGAUUCAUUCUGACAUAAGCUUUCCUGGCCAGUGGUAACUCAAUAUUAUUAGAAAAUACGCAAUA
rnacentral:lncRNA from 1 species